GAUGAACGCUGGCGGCGUGCCUAAUACAUGCAAGUAGAACGCUGAAGGAAGGAGCUUGCUCUUUCCGGGUGAGUUGCGAACGGGUGAGUAACGCGUAGGUAACCUGCCUGUUAGCGGGGGAUAACUAUUGGAAACGAUAGCUAAUACCGCAUAACAGUAGAUAUUGCAUGAUAUCUACUUAAAAGGUGCAAUUGCACCACUACCAGAUGGACCUGCGUUGUAUUAGCUAGUUGGUGAGGUAACGGCUCACCAAGGCGACCAUACAUAGCCGACCUGAGAGGGGGAUCGGCCACACUGGGGCUGAGACACGGCCCAGACUCCUACGGGAGGCAGCAGGAGGGAAUCUUCGGCAAUGGACGGAAGGCUGACCGAGCAACGCCGCGGGAGGGAAGAAGGUUGUCGGAUCGGAAAGCUCUGUUGUAAGAGAAGAACGAGAGUGAGAGUGGAAAGUGCACAUUGUGACGGUACCUUACCAGAAAGGGACGGCUAACUACGUG
rnacentral:rRNA from 1 species